UCCACAGGCUGUGUCCAGUCUCAGCUAGUU
rnacentral:piRNA from 1 species